UGGAAAGUGUUCUCAUCUGUGCUCUGUUCUAGAUGAGGGUGCUGGGAAGGCUUCUCCAUCAACUAGGAGUAAGAAAUUUUUGAAGCCUUUGGAGCCUCCUGCAGAUGUGUCUACAGGGAGGACUUCUCCAGCUUCUCCAGCUCCUACCUUGGAUGCUAUGCGCAAGCCCAGCUCCCAUCACAGGGUUACUCCAACAGGGAAAGUGCAAGAUACAACAGACAAGAUGUCCCUGCAACCAUCCAAACAGAUGAGGCAAGAGCUAAAGGAACCCCUGCAGACAAGAGAAGAGAUGGACAUAGUGCUUCAGUGGAAGUUGGCAUUUCUUGAAGAAAGCACUCCAUCUUCGGUGCCAGCCCCUGCUGCAGGAAAGAAGGCAAAGCCAGACACGGGCACAGGCACAGCAG